rnacentral:antisense_RNA from 1 species
UACGCAUUCAACGUUCGCUGACACAAAGCCGAUCGUACGCAAUCGUCUUUUGUGAAGCGGACAAUACCCACCAUCUCAUCUUCCUCAAAACGUGCCAGCGCAUCGCUUAAUCCCGACGGAACGCCCGCCGGCAAAUCGCACUGCGUAAUAUCACCGUUAACGAUGACCGUCACGUUCUCCCCGAGGCGCGU